GGUAUAGUUAAUCUGCCCUACACAAGAGGACAACAGUUGGAAACGACUGCUAAUACUCUAUACUCCUGCUUAACACAAGUUGAGUAGGGAAAGUUUUUCGGUGUAGGAUGAGACUAUAUAGUAUCAGCUAGUUGGUAAGGUAAUGGCUUACCAAGGCUAUGACGCUUAACUGGUCUGAGAGGAUGAUCAGUCACACUGGAACUGAGACACGGUCCAGACUCCUACGGGAGGCAGCAGUAGGGAAUAUUGCGCAAUGGGGGAAACCCUGACGCAGCAACGCCGCGUGGAGGAUGACACUUUUCGGAGCGUAAACUCCUUUUCUUAGGGAAGAAUUCUGACGGUACCUAAGGAAUAAGCACCGGCUAACUCCGUGCCAGCAGCCGCGGUAAUACGGAGGGUGCAAGCGUUACUCGGAAUCACUGGGCGUAAAGGGCGCGUAGGCGGAUUAUCAAGUCUCUUGUGAAAUCUAAUGGCUUAACCAUUAAACUGCUUGGGAAACUGAUAGUCUAGAGUGAGGGAGAGGCAGAUGGAAUUGGUGGUGUAGGGGUAAAAUCCGUAGAUAUCACCAAGAAUACCCAUUGCGAAGGCGAUCUGCUGGAACUCAACUGACGCUAAGGCGCGAAAGCGUGGGGAGCAAACAGGAUUAGAUACCCUGGUAGUCCACGCCCUAAACGAUGUACACUAGUUGUUGGGGUGCUAGUCAUCUCAGUAAUGCAGCUAACGCAUUAAGUGUACCGCCUGGGGAGUACGGUCGCAAGAUUAAAACUCAAAGGAAUAGACGGGGACCCGCACAAGCGGUGGAGCAUGUGGUUUAAUUCGAAGAUACGCGAAGAACCUUACCUGGGCUUGAUAUCCUAAGAACCUUUUAGAGAUAAGAGGGUGCUAGCUUGCUAGAACUUAGAGACAGGUGCUGCACGGCUGUCGUCAGCUCGUGUCGUGAGAUGUUGGGUUAAGUCCCGCAACGAGCGCAACCCACGUAUUUAGUUGCUAACGGUUCGGCCGAGCACUCUAAAUAGACUGCCUUCGUAAGGAGGAGGAAGGUGUGGACGACGUCAAGUCAUCAUGGCCCUUAUGCCCAGGGCGACACACGUGCUACAAUGGCAUAUACAAUGAGACGCAAUACCGCGAGGUGGAGCAAAUCUAUAAAAUAUGUCCCAGUUCGGAUUGUUCUCUGCAACUCGAGAGC
rnacentral:rRNA from 1 species